CAGAAGAGACAGGUGGUGCAUGGUUGUCGUCAGCUCGUGUCGUGAGAUGUUGGGUUAAGUCCCGCAACGAGCGCAACCCUUGUGUUUAGUUGCCAACAGAUAAUGCUGUGCACUCUAAACAGACUGCCGUGGAUAACACGGAGGAAGGUGGGGAUGACGUCAAAUCAUCAUGCCCCUUAUGAUCUGGGCUACACACGUGCUACAAUGGUCGGUACAACGGGCAGCGAAAGAGUAAUCUGGAGCGAAUCCUAAAAAGCCGAUCCCAGUUCGGAUUGUGGGCUGAAACUCGCCCACAUGAAGUUGGAGUUGCUAGUAAUCGCGAAUCAGAAUGUCGCGGUGAAUGCGUUCCCGGGUCUU
rnacentral:rRNA from 1 species